rnacentral:rRNA from 1 species
CACAUGCAAGUCGAGGGGCAGCAUGAGCUCAGUUAUUCUGGGUUUGAUGGCGACCGGCGCACGGGUGAGUAACACGUAUCCAACCUGCCGUCUACUCUUGGACAGCCUUCUGAAAAGGAAGAUUAAUACAAGAUGGCAUCAUGAGUCCGCAUGUUCACAUGAUUAAAGGUAUUCCGGUAGACGAUGGGGAUGCGUUCCAUUAGAUAGUAGGCGGGGUAACGGCCCACCUAGUCUUCGAUGGAUAGGGGUUCUGAGAGGAAGGUCCCCCACAUUGGAACUGAGACACGGUCCAAACUCCUACGGGAGGCAGCAGUGAGGAAUAUUGGUCAAUGGGCGAGAGCCUGAACCAGCCAAGUAGCGUGAAGGAUGACUGCCCUAUGGGUUGUAAACUUCUUUUAUAAAGGAAUAAAGUCGGGUAUGGAUACCCGUUUGCAUGUACUUUAUGAAUAAGGAUCGGCUAACUCCGUG